AUUGAACGCUGGCGGCAGGCCUAACACAUGCAAGUCGAGCGGAGCGGCGGACGGGUGAGUAAUGCCUAGGAAUCUGCCUGGUAGUGGGGGAUAACGUCCGGAAACGGGCGCUAAUACCGCAUACUAUCAGAUGAGCCUAGGUCGGAUUAGCUAGUUGGUUGGGUAAAGGCCUACCAAGGCGACGAUCCGUAAAUGGUCUGAGAGGAUGAUCAGUCACCCGGGAUGGUAGACACGUUCCAGACUCCUACGGUAUGCAGCAUUUGUGACUUUGGGAGAAUGGGCGAACGCUUGAUCCCUCCAUGCCGCUUGUGUACAUAAGGUUGUCGUAUUGUAAAUCCCUUUAAGUUGGGAGGCGUUUCCAACAUAAUAAGCACCGGCUAACUUCGUGCCAGCAGCCUCUGUAAUAC
rnacentral:rRNA from 1 species